AUUCUCUGGUUUCUUUUCAUCCUACGAGUUAAUCUUUCGCCUUUUAGUAAAGAUUACCGUGGAGAGGAACAUUACAAUGAGCCUAAAAAUAAUUUUUGGAAUCCUCACCU
rnacentral:snRNA from 1 species